UACGGAGGGUGCAAGCGUUAUCCGGAUUCACUGGGUUUAAAGGGCGCGUAGGCGGGUUGGUAAGUCAGUGGUGAAAUCCCCGAGCUUAACUUGGGAACUGCCAUUGAUACUAUCAGUCUUGAAUACUGUGGAGGUUAGCGGAAUAUGUCAUGUAGCGGUGAAAUGCUUAGAUAUGACAUAGAACACCAAUUGCGAAGGCAGCUGGCUGCACAAUUAUUGACACUGAGGCUCGAAAGCGUGGGGAUCAAACAGG
rnacentral:rRNA from 1 species